UGGUAAUUAACUCAGUUGGUAGAGUAUUUCGCUUACAACGAAAAGGUCAAAGGUUCGAAUCCUUUAUUACCAA
rnacentral:tRNA from 1 species